rnacentral:rRNA from 1 species
UACGUAGGGGGCAAGCGUUGUCCGGAUUUAUUGGGCGUAAAGAGCUCGUAGGCGGUUGGGCAAGUCACGUGUGAAAUCUCCACGCUCAACGUGGAGGCGCCACGUGAGACUGCCCUGACUCGAGUCCGGUAGGGGAGCGUGGAAUUCCCGGUGUAGCGGUGGAAUGCGCAGAUAUCAGGAGGAACACCGGUGGCGAAGGCGGGUCUCUGGGCAGUAACUGACGCUGAGGAGCGAAAGCGUGGGGAGCGAACAGG